CCUACGGGAGGCAGCAGUGAGGAAUAUUGCACAAUGGGGGAAACCCUGAUGCAGCGACGCCGCGUGGGUGAUGACGGCCUUCGGGUUGUAAAGCCCUUUUGCCAUUGACGAGAACGGACGGUAGAUGGCGAAUAAGCCUCGGCUAACUACGUGCCAGCAGCCGCGGUAAAACGUAGGAGGCGAGCGUUAUCCGGAGUUACUGGGCGUAAAGCGUGCGCAGGCGGUGCCAUAAGUCAGGUGUGAAAGAUUCCGGCUCAACCGGGAAAACGCGCUUGAGACUGUGGGACUAGAGUGGGAUAGAGGGACGUGGAAUUCCGGGUGGAGCGGUGAAAUGUGUAGAGAUCCGGAGGAACACCAGAGGCGCAAGCGGCGUCCUGGGUCCCAACUGACGCUGAGGCACGAAAGCUUGGGGAGCGAACGGGAUUAGAGACCCCGGUAGUCCAAGCCGUAAACGAUGCAGACUCGGUGUCCACUCUCGCAAGGGAGGGGGCGCCACAGCCAACGCGAUAAGUCUGCCGCCUGGGGACGUCGGUCGCAAGACUAAAACUCAAAUGAAUUGACGG
rnacentral:rRNA from 1 species